rnacentral:lncRNA from 10 species
AAAUUAUUUGUUAGUUGACGAUGCAAUCAGCAUGCUGAUUAAGGUUGCUUGGUUUUUUACUAAACAUUAACUGAAUGAAAACGGGUAGUCCUUGUUCUGCUUGGGGGGCUUUAAGGAAGCAAAUGGACUUUCAGAACAGAGAUUGUCAAUAAAGAUCCAAUGUGAUAAUUUAUGUGAAAUCUUUCUGCAAACUAUACAGUAUGAUAAAAAUAUAAGGUAGUUUCACUGGAAACAACAGAAGACUAGAAGCUGAUGUGACGUGGCAAUAUCAACCAGGAGUGGGUGGACAUUUGGCAUCCAGGAUGUGGUUCCAAGCUUGAGCCAUGGGAUGGUUUUUAUCUAUCUUCAUCAGAAGGGAGUAUGCUAAAGAACACAUAUGAGAUUACUGUGUGUCUGACACACAGUAGGCCCUUAAUAUUAGUUUGCUGAAUGCACAAAGGGAGGGAACUUCACCAAACUGAAGAUCAUUUCUCAGGAGUAACUUUAAUAACAAGCUGAGGCACAAAAUCCCACUAAAGUUUACCAGCUACCUAUUUAGAAUGGCUGAAUUUUAACAGAUGUUGACUGACUCUCUUAGGAAC